GACGAACGCUGGCGGCGUGCUUAACACAUGCAAGUCGAACGGUGAAGCGCCUUCCUUUUUGGUGGGUGUGGAUGAGUGGCGAACGGGUGAGUAACACGUGAGUAACCUGCCCCCUUCUUCUGGAUAACCGCAUGAAAGUGUGGCUAAUACGGGAUAUUCUGGGUCUGUCGCAUGAUGGGUCUGGGAAAGAUAUUGUUUCGGUGGGGGAUGGGCUCGCGGCCUAUCAGCUUGUUGGUGGGGUGAUGGCCUACCAAGGCGGUGACGGGUAGCCGGCCUGAGAGGGUGGACGGUCACACUGGGACUGAGACACGGCCCAGACUCCUACGAGAGGCAGCAGUGGGGAAUAGUGCACAAUGGGCGCAAGCCUGAUGCAGCGACGCCGCGUGAGGGAUGGAGGCCUUCGGGUUGUGAACCUCUUUCGCCAGUGAAGCAGGCCUGCCUCGUUUGUGGGUGGGUUGACGGUAGCUGGAUAAGAAGCGCCGGCUAACUACGUG
rnacentral:rRNA from 1 species